GAUGAAUGCUGGCGGCGUGCUUAACACAUGCAAGUCGAGCGGUAAGGCCCUUCGGGGUACACGAGCGGCGGACGGCUGAGUAACGCGUGGGAACAUACCCCAGAGUGAGGGAUAACGCACCGAAAGGUGCGCUAAUACCGCAUAAUCUCUUCGGAGCAAAGGAGUAAUGCGCUUUGGGAAUGGCCUGCGUACGAUUAGCUAGUGGGUGAGGUAAUGGCUUACCAAGGAGACGAUCGUUAGCUGGUCUGAGAGGAUGACCAGCCAGACUGGAACUGAGACACGGUCCAGACUCCUACGGGAGGCAGCAGUGAGGAAUAUUCCACAAUGGGCGAAAGCCUGAUGGAGCAACGCCGCGUGCAGGAUGAAGGCCCUCGGGUCGUAAACUGCUUUUAUAAGUGAAGAAUAUGACGGUAACUUAUGAAUAAGCACCGGCUAACUACGUGCCAGCCGCCGCGGUAA
rnacentral:rRNA from 1 species